AGAGUUUGAUCAUGGCUCAGAACGAACGCUGGCGGCAUGCCUAACACAUGCAAGUCGAACGGGAUCCGGACUUCGGUUCGGUGAGAGUGGCGGACGGGUGAGUAACGCGUGGGAAUCUGCCCAGUGGUGGGGGAUAACUGCGGGAAACUGCAGCUAAUACCGCAUGAGCCCGAGAGGGGAAAGAUUUAUCGCCAUUGGAGGAGCCCGCGUUCGAUUAGGUAGUUGGUGAGGUAACGGCUCACCNGCCUUCGAUCGAUAGCUGGUCUGAGAGGAUGAUCAGCCACACUGGGACUGAGAUACGGCCCGACUCCUACGGGAGGCAGCAGUGGGGAAUAUUGGACAAUGGGGGCAACCCUGAUCCAGCAAUGCCGCGUGAGUGAUGAAGGCCUUCGGGUUGUAAAGCUCUUUUGCCAGGGACGAUGAUGACGGUACCUGGAGAAUAAGCCCCGGCUAACUUCGUGCCAGCAGCCGCGGUAAUACGAAGGGGGCAAGCGUUGUUCGGAAUUACUGGGCGUAAAGGGCGCGUAGGCGGCUUAUCAAGUCAGGCGUGAAAUUCCCGGGCUCAACCUGGGGGCUGCGCUUGAUACUGAUGAGCUUGAAUGCGGGAGAGGAUAGUGGAAUUCCCAGUGUAGAGGUGAAAUUCGUAGAUAUUGGGAAGAACACCGGUGGCGAAGGCGGCUAUCUGGCCCGUAAUUGACGCUGAGGCGCGAAAGCGUGGGGAGCAAACAGGAUUAGAUACCCUAGUAGUCC
rnacentral:rRNA from 1 species